AUUAGGUGAAGUCAAUGAUCCCAUGCUGCCGAGAAAAGCCUCUAGCGAGCUUCGAGCGGCCCGUACCCCAAACCGACACAGGUGGUCAGGUAGAGAAUACCGAGGCGAUCGGGCGAACUAUGGUUAAGGAACUCGGCAAAUUACCCCCGUAACUUCGGGAGAAGGGGGGCCACAGACUGUCAAACUCCAUGCGGGUGGCAGCGGUAGGUGGCCGCAGAGACCAGGGGGAAGCGACUGUUUACUAAAAACACAGGUCCGUGCGAAGUCGUAAGACGAUGUAUACGGACUGACGCCUGCCCGGUGCUGGAACGUUAAGGGGACCGGUUAGUCCGCAAGGGCGAGGCUGAGAACUUAAGCGCCAGUAAACGGCGGUGGUAACUAUAACCAUCCUAAGGUAGCGAAAUUCCUUGUCGGGUAAGUUCCGACCUGCACGAAUGGCGUAACGACUUCCCUACUGUCUCAACCAUAGGCCCGGCGAAAUUGCACUACGAGUAAAGAUGCUCGUUACGCGCGGAAGGACGGAAAGACCCCGGGACCUUCACUAUAGCUUGACAUUGGUACUCGAAUUGAAUUGUGUAGGAUAGGUGGGAGACUAUGAAGCUCGGACGCCAGUUCGGGUGGAGUCAAACUUGAAAUACCACUCUGUUGAAUUUGGGUAUCUAACUUCGGACCGUGAUCCGGUUCAGGGACAGUGUCUGGUGGGUAGUUUAACUGGGGCGGUUGCCUCCUAAAAUGUAACGGAGGCGCCCAAAGGUUCCCUCAGCCUGGUUGGCAAUCAGGUGUUGAGUGCAAGUGCACAAGGGAGCUUGACUGUGAGACUGACAGGUCGAGCAGGGACGAAAGUCGGGACUAGUGAUCCGGCACCUGCGAGUGGAAGCGGUGUCGCUCAACGGAUAAAAGGUACCCCGGGGAUAACAGGCUGAUCUUCCCCAAGAGUCCAUAUCGACGGGAUGGUUUGGCACCUCGAUGUCGGCUCGUCGCAUCCUGGGGCUGGAGUAGGUCCCAAGGGUUGGGCUGUUCGCCCAUUAAAGCGGCACGCGAGCUGGGUUUAGAACGUCGUGAGACAGUUCGGUCCCUAUCCUCCGCGCGCGCAGGAGACUUGAGAAGGGCUGUCCCUAGUACGAGAGGACCGGGACGGACGAACCUCUGGUGUGCCAGUUGUCAUGCAAAUGGCACGGCUGGUUAGCUACGUUCGGAAGGGAUAACCGCUGAAAGCAUCUAAGCGGGAAGCCUGCUUCAAGAUGAGGUCUCCCACCCCUUGAGGGUUAAGGCCCCCAGCUAGACCACUGGGUUGAUAGGCCAGAAGUGUAAGCCUGGUAACAGGUUCAGCCGACUGGUACUAAUAGGCCGAGGACUUGACU
rnacentral:rRNA from 1 species